UACGUAGGUGGCAAGCGUUGUCCGGAUUUACUGGGCGUAAAGGGCGCGUAGGCGGACAGUUUAGUCAGAGGUGAAAGCCCAGGGCUCAACCUUGGAACUGCCUUUGAUACUGGCUGUCUUGAGUUCGGGAGAGGUGAGUGGAAUGCCGAGUGUAGAGGUGAAAUUCGUAGAUAUUCGGCGGAACACCAGUGGCGAAGGCGACUCACUGGCCCGAUACUGACGCUGAGGCGCGAAAGCGUGGGGAGCAAACAGG
rnacentral:rRNA from 1 species